rnacentral:lncRNA from 1 species
AUUAGCUUUUAUAUAUAUACAUACAUAUAUACAUAUAUAUAUACCAAUGUAUGUAUAUGUGUGUGUGUUUAUAUAUAAAACCUCCAUCAAGCCAAGAUGAAAAUGUUAUUCUCAUUUAAAAAAAUAUUCAGUUUGUUUUUGCUGAAGAAUCUGUGGUAAGAGGUUUAUAAGAAGGUUAUAAGAGUGGAGGUAAAGAACUCUGAUUGGGCUGGGGAUGUGGCUCACGCGGUAGCGCGCUCGCCUGGUGUGCGUGCGGCCCGGGUUCCAUCCUCAGUACCACCUACAAAGAUGUUGUGUCCACCAAAUACUAAAAAAUAAAUAUUAAAAUUCUCUCUUUAAAAAAAAAGAACUCUGAUUUGUUCUUAUGUUCAUAUAUUCCUAUGUGCCAGUCAUGAAUGUAUUACCUCUGGGCUCCAGAUCUAAGUCUCAGAACGCUCAUGAAAUUCCUUCAGGCAUUUUGCAUUAUAAUAAGGAUGAUGUUUUCUCAGUAUAGGGCACUGGAGGGGCAUUGCAAGAGGAAAGGUGUUUUGCCAUGAAGACAUGGAAUAAAGCAGACCAUCUACUUACAGUGUGGUUUCCUGCAAUGAAAGCAGCUUAGUGACAGAUACUUUAUACAACUGACAAAGUCCCAAAUAUUUACCAUCUGGCCCUUCAGAGAAAGUUUGUUGAUCCUUGCUCUAAUUAGUAGAAACAAACAAAAAUAAAAAAUUCCCCUAACCACAUGCAUCUAUUUAAAUAACUGUUGUUCUACUAAUUUUUCUUCAUAAAUGUUGUAUUUUCAUGAUAUUCUUUAUUUUCUUAAAAAUGAACAUAUAUCUCAUGAAAAAACUUUUGAGUACAAAUGUGAGUUUUAAAAUACCUCUGCC